ensembl:lncRNA
GUGCUGGCGGUGUGGUCCGCUGUGAGCACAGGAUUCGCGUGGCCUGCCCAGUUGCAUGGCCUUUGCUCCAUCCCAGAGUUGACCCAAGACACCAGGGGAACAUCCAUGGGCUAAUUAAUGGACCUGCCAUUAGAAGGGAGCCCUGGUCGGGGAAACUCAGGAAAGUCUACAAAGCUGCAGAGGAAGUUUCUCAGGCUGUCAUCCAACUUCCCGCCUUUAAUUUCUUCUGUUUGAUAGAGAAUGACUAAGAAAGCUAGUGACUCAGAAGCCGGGGAGAGGCUGUCUGCCGAGCUGGACGGAUCAAGGGAGUGAGAUGGGUCGGUGGAAAAAGAAAUCAAGAGAGGAAAGAGAAGAAGCAGACAGAAGACUCAAAGGCCAGCCCCAAAACAGACGAUGGAAGAUCCCGGCCUGGUUCCGCAGGCAUCGAGCCCCCCAGAGUGCUGCUGCUCCUCCGGCAGGAAGCUCUGGAGGAUUCUCACAGCUGGUCUUGGAGGGCCGCUUCCUGGAAGCCUGUCGGAGCAUCUCAUCCUCAGCGGAGGAAAGGCAGGACCGUGGCUGCCAGUACCAGGCCGUGGCCCGGGGCAUGUGGCAGGUCGUCCAGGAGGCACUGGAGGGCGGCGGAGGCGGCCGGGAGCUGCAGAGGAAGCUCAGGUCGGUGGCGGCUGCGAUGGAGUGGGCCCGGGGCGCCUCCCGGGAGCUGGGUGGUGACCUGGCCUCCUGGGACUGCCAGCUGCAGACACGGCUGAGGAAUGACGCUGAGAACCGGGUGCCCCCGAGCCCCAGAGACCGAGUGCCCCUGAACCCGCGGGACCAGCUGGGCAGGUACUUGGUGGAGCUGGCCGAGGCCAUGGAUCGUGGCCUGGGCCCCCAGAGGGCAGCCCGGCUGGGAGCCUGCCUCUCGGCGACCGACAGAGAAUGCUUCCAGGAGGUGCUCCUGGGCCGUCUCUCCGUGCUCCUGACCCGCAGCGGAGACCCGGACAGCUGCCAGGAGCUCUACACCUGGGCCAGGAAGACCUUGUUUGGGCAGCUGGCCAGGAAGACUCCAAGGCCCGCCGCCGCCAGGAAACUCCUGGACCCGCUGAUGUUUGUCACCUGGAUGUCCCAGAUGCAGAGCCGGCUGGUGGAGCUGAUCCAGAAAGGUGGUUCGCUGUCACAAGCGAGACACAGGACACGUAUACAUUGAAACUGCAGUUUUCCUGUCACUGAUAAACAUGCCCAGCGUUCUCCUCGGCGCGCACAGCCAUGCUGGCCUAACUCAAGGCUCAGUCCCGUUGAAGCACCUGGAAAGAGUUGGAAAAACAACUAGAAAAUGUCCUGACCUGUGAUCAGAAAGAGCGGGCCAGCUCUUCCUGCCAGGCGUUCCUCAAAAUCUUCCAGGGGUGAGUUGGUGUUUCCGUUGAUUCUUUGGACUGCUGGGGCUGGAGAGAGAGAAGAUGAUGAGACACUUAGCAUCCUCAAUGCCUUUGCGCAGAGACGCCCUGUUGAGAGCAUCGGGAGGAGCUGUGGAAAGGAACCAUAGAUUCGGUGCAAGACGUCGGGCUGCCUGUCACCAGCCGAGUUCAAGCCAUGGUUCUGAACACGUUUGCAGAGUUUCUGCAAAGGUAAGUGAAAAGGCAGCCUUGCCCAGGUGGGGAGGCCUGGGCUGCGUUCAGCUAACCCAUGUCAGAGUGCUCACCUCGCCACCAGCCGCCAGGCCAGGGCCAGUUCACAAAAUGCAUGGGGAGCGCUGGUUGGCUCCUGGUGCCCCCCGUCCUGCCCGCUCUGCGUCUCGUCCUGGCUCUGGAGGCAGCCCUGUGUGACCGUGGAAACGUCCAGCCUGGAGGCCCCAGCCUGGCAGCUGUCCAGCUAAUUCUGAGGGGGCAUGAGGUUUAAGUUGUAUUUAAUUUUAACUAACUGACGUUUGAACAGCUUAUGGGGCAUGGGGCUCUUGGCUCUCUGUUGCACAGCAGGGUGAACCCGGCAUUCGGUUCCCAUCCUAGAUUUUGUUAUAUUGAUUUUGAGGGGUUUUUGUUUGUUUCAUCUUCUUUUUUGGCCAAAUACGGCUUGUGGGAUGUUGUUCCCCAACCAGGGAUCGAAUGGCUGCCUCAGAGCAGUAGAAUCGCUGAGUCCCAAACACCAGACCGCCAGGGAAUUGCCAUCGAGCUUUAAAAACUGAGAUAAAGAACCAUUUCUCUCAGUUACUGGAUUUCAGGGCGCUCCUUUAAACCUUGCGGCUGAGCUGAGAGCCUCCCUCCCCGCUCUGGUUUUCCCGGCAGGACUUGCUGUCGGUCUCCUUGGUCCACACCCAGAUCUGCCCCAGCCCUGGAUUUGGGGGGGGGUCUCCCUCUCUCUAGCCUUUUCUCUGUCUUCUUGUAUUGUGCUGAAUGGAAGUGCUCAGUCUCCAGAGAGAAAUGGAAGGGCUUAGUUUUUCCUGGCAGCUAGCUAGAGGAUGAGAGAAGGCAAUGGCACCCCAUUCCAGUACUCUUGCCUGGAGAAUCCCAGGGACGGAGGAGCCUGGUGGGCUGCAGUCCAUGGGGUCACGAAGAGUUGGACACAACUGAUCAACUUCACUUUCACUUUUCACUUUCAUGCUUUGGAGAAGGAAAUGGCAACCCACUCCAGGGUUCUGGCCUGGAGAAUCCCAGGGACUGGGGAGCCUGGUGGGCUGCCGUCUAUGGGGUCGCAUAGAGUUGGACACGACUGAAGCGACUUAGCAGCAGCAGCCCUCUCUCCCAGGGGGCUCAGGUGAGGGCGGCUGUGGCCAGGGCUGCCCGGACUUUGUGAGAAGCAAGUUUGGGGCACAGCGCUGGGUACCGGAGUGUCAUGGGGCCCCCUUUUCCAGGAUUUCCAGUGUAUUCACCUUCAGAGGGUCUCUGAAGGGCCUGGCACCAGACAGGUUACUCAUGAGGGGCCAGAGAUGUGAAUUUUUAGGUGAAAUCAGCCAGGUUUUAAAUGUUUAGCCACCACUGUGGCUAGUUUGAGAUCGUGGUUGAUUUGUGUUCUAGGAAUGUAAAGGCGCCCCUUCCUUCCUGCCUUUGGGGAGCAGGGGUAUGCAUGCCUCUCCUGACUCCUCUCUCCCCACCCUGCUGGGGGGGUUGCAAUGCUCCAGGCAGGGUGUGGGGUGCCCCUCCCUCCCUGUGGGCACUCCAGACACUCCUAGGAGGCCUUGUUUCCUCCCUCUUCCUUCCCCUGAGAGCACGUUAGCUGUGAUUGCAGACCACAGGAGAAACCCAGUCCCGUCCGGUUCUAGAAGUGUUUACUGCAAAGGGCCGGCACAGCAUUACAGGAAAAGAUUCUUGGGAACCGUCUGCUCCGGCGCCUGGUGCAGAGGCGGCCCCAGUUGUCCACACGUUGACCAUGAGCACCCACAUCUGUUUCACGGAAGAAGCAGCAGUUAGGCUGAGAAGGGGGACGGCUCACACCGCUGGAUGGGGCUGACGUGCGGGGCAGCGCCUGCAUCUCCGCCUUCACACGCAGAUACCGGGGUGAGGGUGCCCCCCACUUCCUCCAGCAGCAGGCCGGUGCCGGACCCUCCCCCCAGCUGCAUGUGCUGCAGAACUGCUGCGUCCUCAGGAAAACGUGGCAGGAUCUGGGCCAGGCCCACACUCCCCUGGCAGACUUGGUGCUGUGCACCAUCAACGCCAUUGAGGACCAGAGCCAGGAUGCCCUCGUGUCUGGAGUCAGAAGCCUGUGCCAGGUGAGGUACCCCCAACUCCAGCCCUUGCAGGGGCCUCUGCUGUUCCCAGUGGUGUGACCAGAGGGUCCCUCUGUCUCCCAGGCUCUCUCCAGCCCAGGGCAAUGACGGGGAUACAGCAAAGCCCAGGCAAAGCUAGCUUUGAGUUGCCUGUGUCCAGCCUCCACCCUGCCCGGGCCUGGGCCUUGGUCUGCAGUGGGAGAAGGACAGCUCAGCAUCCUGUCGGCCAGAGACGGGCUCCGUGCGGCUGAGGGGGCUGGGGCUGGCCUUGCCUCUGCUCAGGGGGCCCGGCUCCACCCUCACAGAGGGCACCUUCCUGGGCAGGGUCCACAUUUGCAGUCCUCUGUCCACGGGCAGACCCGCUCUUGGCUCUCUCUAUCUGUGGAGCCACCUGUCCUGCCAGGCCAGUGGAGGCCUGACACCCUGCCCCCUGCCCCGAUCCCGCUUUGCCCCAUGUGCCUCCCAGGCAGGUGAAGCCCCCUCCAUGGUGUUCCCAGGGUCUCCAUGCCUCCCCCAAGCACUGGCUGCCUCCAG